UGAGUGGGCCUUAUGGCCGCGCGUCUUGUGCCCUGUUUUCAGAACCCGCAGGUUUUGUUCGCAGGGAGACGACGUGAGGAAAGUCCGGACUCCAGAGGGCAAGAUGCCAGCUAACGGCUGGGCGGGGUGACCCGACGGAAAGUGCCACAGAAAAGAAAACUCCCCCGGUUGCGACACGGAAGCGGGAGCUGCUAAAGAGCAGUUUGCUGGUUUUGCGACGCAAUUUGGGAAAAGCUGAAACGGUGUGGUAAGAGCGCACCAGCGUCGCGGCAACGUGACGGCUUGGCAAACCCCAUCCGGAGCAAUGGCAAAUAGGAAAGCAGACGGUUGGCCCGACCGGCUUUCGGGUUGCCAGCUUGAGGGCAUUGGCGACAAUGCUCCCAGAUAAAUGGCCAUACGCAAUAACAGAAUCCGGCUUAUCGGCCCACUCUCCCC
rnacentral:RNase_P_RNA from 1 species